rnacentral:rRNA from 1 species
GACGAACGCUGGCGGCGUGCCUAACACAUGCAAGUCAAGGAGAAACGGGUAGCAAUAUCCGGAGUACACUGGCGCACGGGUGAGUAACGCGUAGGCAACCUGCCUUCAGGACGGGGAUAACUCAGCGAAAGUUGGACUAAUACCCGAUGAUAUUCCGGCAUAGCAUUAUGCCGGGAUCAAAGCCCGCAAGGGUGCCUGUAGAUGGGCCUGCGUCCCAUUAGGUAGUUGGUGAGGUAACGGCUCACCAAGCCCACGAUGGGUAGCUGGUCUGAGAGGAUGAUCAGCCACACUGGAACUGAGACACGGUCCAGACUCCUACGGGUGGCAG